ACACACACACACACACACAAACCUUAAUAACGAAGAUACAAAAUAAUAAUAAAAAAAAAAAGAAAGGUACAUCUCUCAGUAUGUACCAUUGGGUAAUAAAUAUAAAAGAAACAUAUUGAAACCAAUGUGGCUUAGUAGGGAAGUAAAUGGGAUUAAAAAGAAAAGGGCAUUUGAAGCAUUUAAAUCGGACAAAUCAGAAGCAUCCUAUAUAAGAUAUAAGAAAGCCAAUAACACUUGCAAAAAGGCAAUUAAAGUGACUAAACUAGACAAUGAGAAAUUGAUAGCCAAAGAAAGCAAAACCAACCCCCAAAAACAUUUCAAGUACAUCAAUUCCAAAAAAAAACAACCAAAAAAGGGUAGGUACACUGAAAAAAGAGAUGGGUCUAUUAGCUAAUGAAGAACAGAAAAAGGCAGACAUUUUAAAUAACUAUUUUUUCUUCAGUAUGUGUUAAUG